ensembl:lncRNA
UGUAGAACAAUGGGCGUUUUGUUUGAGUUUGUGUUAUCAGAUAAUCAAACUGAUAAUGAGUCCCUGAAACUUCCUGUUAUCUCAUGGUACAGAAAAACCCACUCUAUUAACCAACUUUGGGGUUGUUGAUUGUUUUUCCACUUUCUUUAGAAGUGCAUUGAAUAUGCAGAUGAGAAAGCGACUUAAAGCGGGGUGUUCGGACUGAUCGCUUCAGACAUCUUCUGAAACAUCAGGAUCAUCAGGUCUACAGUGAAAUCAACAUGAAGACUCUCAGCCUGACGGUGGGACUGCUGCUUGUGCUGUUCAUCAUUUACUACGGCGAUGCCACACCUCAUGGAGUGAAACCAACACCUGACCUUUGCUGUUUUAAAUUCUAUGAGAGAAAGAUCCCAACAAAGCAGAUCAAAUCCAUCAAAAAAACUCACAGCAAAUGCACGACACCAGCAUUUGUAAGCUGUAAUGCGUGGGGUAGAGCAGGUUAUCUACUGAUCGCAAGGAUCAAGACACCCAGAGGGGAUUUCUGCGUGAGACAGAAUGAGAAUUGGGCACUGAAAGAAUUUGUCCAAAGAAAAUAACACAAUUAAGAGAUGGAGAAUCUACCGCGCAAUAAGCCGAACUGCAUCAAUUACUCCAUGAAUUUGCUUUUUAAUCCAGAUGUAUUGCUGGAGUUUUGACCUCUCCAUAAUGUGCCUGCUUAAUUACUGUCAGUAUUUCUGAAGACAAGAUACAUUUAUUAUGCAUUGAUUUAAUUCAAAAUAAAGAUAUCAAUUUUAGAAUUUGAAUGAAAUGUUAAAAAUUAUUUUUCUGAGGUUUUCUGUUUCGUUGCCACAGGUAUAUGAAAUCAAACACAUCUUUACAAUUGGCAGUCUUUACAAGCAUUUGUGAAAGAAUCAGUCGCUUUGAAGACUGUGAGACUUCUGUCUUUGAAAUACCACAAUCAUCUGAAAGUGAAAGCAUUCAGUGGCAGAUUGGAUAAAGUUACAUGGUGGGGAGAGUGCAGAGACAGAGGGCUUUAAAAACGUCUCCAGUGCACUGCUGACUCAGCAUCAUGUGUUUCCAUGGCCUGUGGGUGUAGCGUGUAGGUGGCCCAAACUUUUGUCCACACUGCCUACAUUCACUUACAGCAUGUUGUCCCAGCUUGAUGUGACAAACUUGUCACAUGUCCCAAAGAGCGCUGCUAGGCUUUCUUUGGUCUUGGAGAUGUUCUUCAAAGCUCUGAGGUGUGUUUUGGGCUCAUUAACAUUCUGCUCUGUAACUUACUUUCCCACAAACAUCCAAAUCACAGUCGAAGUGCAUUUCUCAAGAAUGCAGUGCCACUUGUCCUCAGUCAGGGUGCAGUUGAUUUCAGUUCAGGUUACCACCUGUAGAGCAGGAAACACCUCCUUAUAUUCCACUUUAUUUUCCUGCUGCUUAUCUCAUACUGAGCUGUCGUUAAUUUGAAAUAUUUUUGAUUUUGCAGACUUUGAGGUUAUUUCCAGGUUCAGAUUUGUUUUCACUUUGCCAUUGUGAUACAGAUGCAGUAUAUCCAAAGCAUUUGUAUCUCACUUUGUAUUGUUUUGCUUCAUUCUUGAAUAAAAUUUUGUUUCAC